rnacentral:rRNA from 1 species
CACUCCUGCGGGAGGCAGCAGUGGGGAAUUUUGGACAAUGGGGGCAACCCUGAUCCAGCAAUGCCGCGUGAGUGAAGAAGGCCUUCGGGUUGUAAAGCUCUUCUGUCAGGGAAGAAACGGUAGUAGCGAAUAACUAUUACUAAUGACGGUACCUGAAGAAUAAGCACCGGCUAACUACGUGCCAGCAGCCGCGGUAAUACGUAGGGUGCAAGCGUUAAUCGGAAUUACUGGGCGUAAAGCGUGCGCAGGCGGUUGUGUAAGUCAGAUGUGAAAUCCCCGGGCUCAACCUGGGAAUUGCAUUUGAGACUGCACGGCUAGAGUGUGUCAGAGGGGGGUAGAAUUCCACGUGUAGCAGUGAAAUGCGUAGAUAUGUGGAGGAAUACCGAUGGCGAAGGCAGCCCCCUGGGAUAACACUGACGCUCAUGCACGAAAGCGUGGGGAGCAAACAGGAUUAGAAACCCGUGUAGUCCCAUG